rnacentral:rRNA from 1 species
GAGUAUUACAAACUGACGUUAAAUAUGAAAAAAUUUUCUUCAAAAAAGAUUUUUAAAAAAAUUAAUUAAUUAAAAGGAACUCGGCAAACUUAGUUGCUUCGCCUGUUUAUCAAAAACAUGGCUCUCUGCUUAUAUAAAUAUAGGGAGUCGAGCCUGCCCAGUGAAUUUUUUUAACGGCCGCGGUACUCUGACCGUGCAAAGGUAGCAUAAUCAUUUGCCUUAUAAUUGAAGGCUAGUAUGAAUGGUUUGACGAGAGCAACACUGUCUCUUUUUUAUUUUCAAGAACUUAACUUUUAGGUGAAGAGGCCUAAAUUUUAUUGAAGGACAAGAAGACCCUGUCGAGCUUAAAAGACAUUGUAGAAGUCUAUAUAUAUAUUAAAUAAAUUUUCUAUCAAGCUUUUUAGUUGGGGCGACUAAGGAACAAAAAAAGCUUCUUGUUAAUAAUAAACAGUCAUGUUUAGAUCCGAUAAUAAUCGAUCGGGGGAAUUAGUUACCGCAGGGAUAACAGCAUAAUCUCUCUUGAGAGACCUAAUCGAAAGAGGGGGUUGUGACCUCGAUGUUGGACUAGAAUAUCCUGAAGGUGCAGAAGUCUUUAAGGGUCGGUCUGUUCGACCGUUAAAAUUCUACGUGA